rnacentral:sRNA from 1 species
UCCAAGAUGGCGGCAGCGAUGCCUGCCCGGCUGUUGGGGUGGCGGUGACGACAGGCAGCAAAAGACCAGGGUAGCGCGGGAGACAGGCGAGGGACCUACCAUCUCCUGCUCCUCCUCUUCCUUUCCAACCACUUUCCUUCACUUCGCCUGCUAGGAAACCGGCUUCACCCUGAUCCUGAUCUCUGGCGGUGCAGAUAAUGCCUCACAUCUCUGUCCCCCCGGGACCCCCUGGAGCCCCCAUGAUCCCUAAGAAGACAGCUUGAACCUAGAAUUCCCCUCUCCCUCCCUAGAUCUCACCCCCAGGAUGUUGCGGAGGCUGCUGGAGCGGCCUUGCACGCUGGCCCUGCUUGUGGGCUCCCAGCUGGCUGUCAUGAUGUACCUGUCACUGGGGGGCUUCCGAAGUCUCAGUGCCCUAUUUGGCCGAGAUCAGGGGCCGACAUUUGACUAUUCUCACCCUCGUGAUGUCUACAGUAACCUCAGUCACCUGCCUGGGGCCCCAGGGGGUCCUCCAGCUCCUCAAGGUCUGCCCUACUGUCCAGAACGAUCUCCUCUCUUAG